GUGCCCAUGAGCUGGUCCAGCAGGGCCCGCAUCUGCGCCUGGGCGGACAUGAUGGCCGGGGCGAGGGCGCCAGGGACGGCCGCGACGGCUCCUCUCGGCGCGGCGGCGGCGGCAGCGACGAAGACACACAGAGAGAGAGGCAGAGACACAGGCAGAGGGAGAAGCAGGCUCCACGCAGGGAGCCCGACGUGGGACUCGAUUCCAGAACCCCAGGAUCACAGCCUGGGCCAAAGGCAGAAGCUCAACCGCUGAGCCGCCCAGGCGUCCCCCAACCCUGAUCCUGUUCUUGGGCCCAAGACCUAGAUGUUCUACUGAGACUAAACUGAAAUAGGAAAAAAAAAUAAAAAAUAAAUAAAUAAAAUAAACCGAAAUAGGAUAAGA